GACCAAACAUCCCUGCAGAAGGAGGCACAUCCCGGAGGAAGCAGUGGCUCAGUGGCAAGCUCUGCUGCAGGGAGGAAGGCGAUGCCAGGCGCGGGCACAGGCACAGGAGAUGCAGCCAGCACCACAGCACCUCUUCCAGAUUCCCAGAAGGGCAUCGGAAGGGGUUUCUGUCAUGGAACAGGCUACUCGCUAGAGUUAAUGGCAGGCAUGCUUCUUUUGAAGCUUGUCUUCAUGUUGUGCUGCUUUAGAAUCUGGUAUUCCUGGAAGAGAAAAUGUCGCAGCUCUGGACAGGAGAUGAAAGCAGUGGCUUCCCCUCACACCCAGACUGCUUGUGGAGCACCUCCAGCAGUAAUAAGGGCCUGGUCAGCCCUUUCUGGAGUUCUGAGAAGAGGACACCAGUAGAUCUGUCUACGAGGAAAUCUCCAAAGACCCUGUAGAUCCCACUGCCACUUCCUCUCCCCAUGGGUAUCCCCAAGCUGCCUUCACCCGUUUUUGAUCUCCCUCUGUCCCGUCCCAGCCCAUUCCCCAGUUCUUCUAAAGACCCCGGUACCAGCCCAGCACCCUCCAGCCCCAACUGAGACCAACAUGGUCCCUCCUCUGCCCCUAAGCUCCCUGGCCCUGCCCCCUAAACGCUAUUGAAGGUAACCCCCCGCCCCUGCCAGGGUAGGUGAUGGCCCCCACUUCGGUUGCAAUAAAGAGAUGGAGCUGUCA